rnacentral:rRNA from 1 species
AGCGAACGCUGGCGGCAGGCUUAACACAUGCAAGUCGAGCGCCGUAGCAAUACGGAGCGGCAGACGGGAGAGUAACACGUGGGAACGUGCCCUUUGGUUCGGAACAACCCAGGGAAACUUGGGCUAAAUACCGGGAUAAGCCCUUACGGGGAAAGAUUUAUCGCCGAAGGAUCGGCCCGCGUCUGAUUAGCUAGUUGGUGGGGUAAUGGCCCACCAAGGCGACGAUCAGUAGCUGGUCUGAGAGGAUGAUCAGCCUCACUGGGACUGAGACACGGCCCAGACUCCUACGGGUGGCAG